rnacentral:rRNA from 1 species
UGCUUAUACAUGCAAGUCGAGCGAACGGAUAAGGAGCUUGCUCCUUUGAAGUUAGCGGCGGACGGGUGAGUAACACGUGGGUAACCUACCUAUAAGACUGGAAUAACUUCGGGAAACCGGAGCUAAUGCCGGAUAACAUAUAGAACCGCAUGGUUCUAUAGUGAAAGAUGGUUUUGCUAUCACUUAUAGAUGGACCCGCGCCGUAUUAGCUAGUUGGUAAGGUAAUGGCUUACCAAGGCGACGAUACGUAGCCGACCUGAGAGGGUGAUCGGCCACACUGGAACUGAGACACGGUCCAGACUCCUACGGGAGGCAGCAGUAGGGAAUCUUCCGCAAUGGGCGAAAGCCUGACGGAGCAACGCCGCGUGAGUGAUGAAGGUUUUCGGAUCGUAAAACUCUGUUAUUAGGGAAGAACAAAUGCGUAAGUAACUGUGCGCAUCUUGACGGUACCUAAUCAGAAAGCCACGGCUAACUACGUGCCAGCAGCCGCGGUAAUACGUAGGUGGCAAGCGUUAUCCGGAAUUAUUGGGCGUAAAGCGCGCGUAGGCGGUUUCUUAAGUCUGAUGUGAAAGCCCACGGCUCAACCGUGGAGGGUCAUUGGAAACUGGGAAACUUGAGUGCAGAAGAGGAAAGUGGAAUUCCAUGUGUAGCGGUGAAAUGCGCAGAGAUAUGGAGGAACACCAGUGGCGAAGGCGACUUUCUGGUCUGUAACUGACGCUGAUGUGCGAAAGCGUGGGGAUCAAACAGGAUUAGAUACCCUGGUAGUCCACGCCGUAAACGAUGAGUGCUAAGUGUUAGGG